rnacentral:rRNA from 1 species
UACGUAGGGGGCUAGCGUUGUCCGGAUUUAUUGGGCGUAAGGAGCGUGUAGGCGGCCAGAUAGGUCUGCUGUGAAAACUCGAGGCUCAACCUCGAGAUGUCGGCGGAAACCAUUUGGCUAGAGUCCGGAAGAGGAAAGUGGAAUUCCUGGUGUAGCGGUGAAAUGCGCAGAUAUCAGGAAGAACACCCGUGGCGAAAGCGGCUUCCUGGCCCAUUCCUGACACUCAGAUGCGAAAGCUAGGGGAGCGAACGGG